rnacentral:rRNA from 1 species
UAACGCGNGGGUAACCUGCCUCAUACNGGGGGAUAACAGUUAGAAAUGACUGCUAAUACCGCAUAAGACCGCAGAGCCGCAUGGCUCAGUGGGAAAAACUCCGGKGGUAUGAGAUGGACCCGCGUCUGAUUAGGUAGUUGGUGGGGUAACGGCCUACCAAGCCAACGAUCAGUAGCCGACCUGAGAGGGUGACCGGCCACAUUGGGACUGAGACACGGCCCAAACUCCUACGGGAGGCAGCAGUGGGGAAUAUUGCACAAUGGGGGAAACCCUGAUGCAGCGACGCCGCGUGAGCGAAGAAGUAUUUCGGUAUGUAAAGCUCUAUCAGCAGGGAAGAAAAUGACGGUACCUGACUAANAAGCACCGGCUAAAUACGUGCCAGCAGCCGCGGUAAUACGUAUGGUGCAAGCGUUAUCCGGAUUUACUGGGUGUAAAGGGAGCGUAGACGGCUGUGUAAGUCUGAAGUGAAAGCCCGGGGCUCAACCCCGGGACUGCUUUGGAAACUAUGCAGCUAGAGUGUCGGAGAGGUAAGUGGAAUUCCCAGUGUAGCGGUGAAAUGCGUAGAUAUUGGGAGGAACACCAGUGGCGAAGGCGGCUUACUGGACGAUGACUGACGUUGAGGCUCGAAAGCGUGGGGAGCAAACAGGAUUAGAUACCCUGGUAGUCCACGCCGUAAACGAUGACUACUAGGUGU